CUUGUGGUCUGCUUCGGAUUUGCCGUGCCUGAUCAUAUGUCGUAUUGACUGGCUUCCAACGAGUUUUCAGCAGGCGCUCUGCUUCAUGGCAUUCUUCGCGCACCCUCUCCAUGUUGGUCAUGAUCGGAAAACGGCGUUGCCAAUCGAGAGCGCAGACCUACCAUCGCCUGGAUGUACUCAUCGAUUGUCUCGCCUGGAUUUUGUUUCCUUUCUCGCAAUUCUUGCUCCAGCUCAAAAUUUGAAACGCUUGGUCUGGAACUGUUGUUGUAAUGCGGACCUCAAAUUUGGCCAAUCAGGAAUCCUGGAUGUAAGAAGAUGCAUCCAAUACCACUCCUUCGCCUGACCCUCCAUUAGGACAUGGAAAUCGCGCAACACUUCUCUCCACGGAACCUGACCCCAUCUGCGAAUAUGCACCACUUCAGUCUUCGGCUCAUGGGCAGAAGUUCGGAUGAAACAAUCCUGUCCUCCGGCGCUUCGGAACUCGUGAGGAACGC